UACGGGGGGAGCAAGCGUUGUUCGGAUUUACUGGGCGUAAAGGGCGCGUAGGCGGCCUCCGCAAGUCAGUUGUGAAAUCUCCGAGCUUAACUCGGAAAGGUCAACUGAUACUGCGGGGCUAGAGUGCGGAAGGGGCAACUGGAAUUCUUGGUGUAGCGGUGAAAUGCGUAGAUAUCUGGAGGAAUACCGGUGGCGAAGGCGGCUUCCUGGACCAGAGCUGACACUGAGGCGCGAAAGCGUGGGGAGGCGAGUCCGG
rnacentral:rRNA from 1 species